rnacentral:rRNA from 1 species
GUGCCAGCAGCCGCGGUAAUACGGAAGAUGCGAGCGUUAUCCGGAUUUAUUGGGUUUAAAGGGAGCGUAGGCGGGCGAUUAAGUCAGCGGUAAAAUAGUGUGGCUCAACCAUACCAUGCCGUUGAUACUGAUUGUCUUGAGUGCACACAAGGAAGAUGGAAUUCGUGGUGUAGCGGUGAAAUGCUUAGAUAUCACGAAGAACUCCGAUUGCGAAGGCAGUCUUCUGGGGUGUUACUGACGCUGAGGCUCGAAAGUGCGGGUAUCAAACAGGAUUAGAUACCCUGGUAGUCCGCACAGUAAACGAUGAAUACUCACUGUUGGCGAUAUAAUGUCAGUGGCCAAGCGAAAGCAUUAAGUAUUCCACCUGGGGAGUACGCCGGCAACGGUGAAACUCAAAGGAAUUGACGGGGGCCCGCACAAGCGGAGGAACAUGUGGUUUAAUUCGAUGAUACGCGAGGAACCUUACCCGGGCUUGAAUUGCAGGUGCAUGAUUCAGAGAUGAAUCUUUCCUUCGGGACUCCUGUGAAGGUGCUGCAUGGUUGUCGUCAGCUCGUGCCGUGAGGUGUCGGCUUAAGUGCCAUAACGAGCGCAACCCUUUUCCAAAGUUACCAUCAGGUGAUGCUGGGGACUCUUUGGAUACUGCCAUCGUAAGAUGUGAGGAAGGUGGGGAUGACGUCAAAUCAGCACGGCCCUUACGUCCGGGGCUACACACGUGUUACAAUGGGGGGUACAGAGGGUCGCUACUAGGCGACUAGAUGCAAAUCCCGAAAACCCUUCUCAGUUCGGACUGGAGUCUGCAACCCGACUCCACGAAGCUGGAUUCGCUAGUAAUCGCGCAUCAGCCAUGGCGCGGUGAAUACGCUCCCGGGCCUUGUACACACCGCCCGU